rnacentral:rRNA from 1 species
ACUCCUACGGGAGGGCAGCAGUGGGGAAUAUUGCACAAUGGGCGCAAGCCUGAUGCAGCCAUGCCGCGUGUAUGAAGAAGGCCUUCGGGUUGUAAAGUAACUUUCAGCAGUGAGGAAGGCGGGUACGUUAAUAGCGUGCUUGUUUGACGUUAGCUGCAGAAGAAGCACCGGCUAACUCCGUGCCAGCAGCCGCGGUAAUACGGAGGGUGCGAGCGUUAAUCGGAAUUACUGGGCGUAAAGCGCAUAGCAGGUGGUUUGUUAAGUCAGAUGUGAAAGCCCGGGGCUCAACCUCGGAAUUGACAUUUGAAACUGGCAGACUAGAGUACUGUAGAGGGGGGUAGAAUUUCGAGGUGUAGCGGUGAAAUGCGUAGAGAUCUGAAGG